rnacentral:rRNA from 1 species
GAUGAACGCUGGCGGCGUGCUUAACACAUGCAAGUCGAACGGUGAAGGAGGAGCUUGCUCUUCUGGAUCAGUGGCGAACGGGUGAGUAACACGUGAGCAAUCUGCCCUUGACUCUGGGAUAACAGUUGGAAACAGCUGCUAAUACCGGAUACGAGACGUGACCGCAUGGUCAACGUCUGGAAAGAACUUCGGUCAAGGAUGAGCUCACGGCCUAUCAGCUAGUUGGUGAGGUAAUGGCUCACCAAGGCGACGACGGGUAGCCGGCCUGAGAGGGUGACCGGCCACACUGGAACUGAGACACGGCCCAGACUCCUACGGGAGGCAGCAGUGGGGAAUAUUGCACAAUGGGCGAAAGCCUGA